rfam:Asian citrus Psyllid, Diaphorina citri - Florida Strain, whole genome shotgun sequence.
GCCUGGUUAGUUUGGAGGGUAGAACGUCUGCCUAUAUAAACUAUAAGUCGUGGGUUCGAUUCCCGCCUCAGGCG